rnacentral:rRNA from 1 species
GGGUUGUGAGGUUAAGCGACUAAGCGUACACGGUGGAUGCCCUGGCAGUCAGAGGCGAUGAAGGACGUGCUAAUCUGCGAUAAGCGUCGGUAAGGUGAUAUGAACCGUUAUAACCGGCGAUUUCCGAAUGGGGAAACCCAGUGUGAUUCGUCACACUAUCAUUAACUGAAUCCAUAGGUUAAUGAGGCGAACCGGGGGAACUGAAACAUCUAAGUACCCCGAGGAAAAGAAAUCAACCGAGAUUCCCCCAGUAGCGGCGAGCGAACGGGGAGGAGCCCAGAGCCUGAAUCAGUGUGUGUGUUAGUGGAAGCGUUUGGAAAGGCGCGCGAUACAGGGUGACAGCCCCGUACACAAAAAUGCACAUGCUGUGA